rnacentral:antisense_RNA from 1 species
CGUUGCGGCGGCUGUGUGCGGGCACGCUUCGGUGUGGUCGAGUUUUGCCUUGAAAGUCUCGAUAUUCCUACCCCGCGCAUAGCUGCCACCCUA